CAAAGCCAGGAGCUGGAAGUUCCAUCCAGGUCUCCCACACCCAAGUAUUGGAUCCCUUCUGAGAGUCUGCAUUAGCUGGAAGCUGGAAUUAGGAGCAGAGACAAGACUUCAACCCAGGCGCUCUGGAAAUCAGCUACAUUUGUUGCUGUGGAUUCAUUCUGAGAGGAGGAGCAUGGUGGGGGCAAGAGGCAUGGAGUCACCACACAGACCCCGGGAGUCAGGUGAAAGCAGGCCAGAGCUCUUUGCUAUUGCCUUGGAAAGCAGUAGAAGAUGGUCCAAGUCUUUGGAGCCCUGAACCCACGUGGGAGACUCAGAAGAAGCUCCUGGCUCCUGGCUUCAGAUUGCUGCAGCUCCAGCCAUGGCAGCCAAUUGGGGAAUGAACCAGUGGAUGGAAGACCUCUGCCUCUCUGCCUCUUCUUCUCUCUGUGUGUUAUUUUCAAAAAAUAAAUAAAUAAAAAGAAAAUGCUAGGUGGGAAAACAUGAAAAAUGACUACAUAUCAGGCACUAAGAUCAGAGAACACCAUUUCAAGACAAACCUCAAAAGCAAGUAAUCAACUAUUUCUAAGAAAACAGAGCUUGUGAAGGUUCCUCUGGCAUUUUUGCAAAGGAAUACAGAGUUUAAAAUAAAGGCAGGCAUAAAUAAGCUUUAGGAAGAUAAGCUGACAAGUUUUCCUUCAAAAGAAUCUGCUGAAGCCAAGAAAAUGGUCAUAUUAGAAACAGAUUAUUUGAGAGGAUAGUUGACACCUGUAUUUUUCUAAGAAAGUCAAUCAUUAGAGAUGAAAUGGUCAAAUAUCAGAGAAAGUAAGACUGUGUGGUGAUAGAAAUAAAUACUAAAGUGCUCUUUAGACUCAGAGCUUCUACACAGAACAAACAAAUAAUUAACGGUGGGUCUGGGGGCUUACGAUGGCCCCCACAUAAUCCAGUGAAUGUAACUGUUGUGCAGGACAGAGAAACACAGAGUAGUGGUCUCAACAUGGGAGUCAAAGGGUUUCCUCUGAUCUCUCCAGAGAGUGCAGACAGCACACUGCCAGAGUGAGGUGUUCAAUUGGGAAGAAAGUUCUACGGACAGUUUGUGGGACCGGCGCUGUGGCACAGCACUGUGGCCUGAAGCACUGGCAUCCCAUAUGGGUGCUGGUUCAAGACCUGGCUGCUCCACUUCUAAUCCAGCUCUCUGCUAUGGCCUGGAAAAGCAGUGGAAUAUGGCCCAAGUCCUUGGGUCCCUGCACCUACAUGGGAGUCAUGGAGGAAGCUCCUGGUUCCUGGCUUCAGAUCGGCACAGCUCUGGCUGUUGUGGCCAAUUGGGGAAUGAGCCAUCAGAUGGAAGACCUCUCUCCCCCUCUCUCUGC